rnacentral:rRNA from 1 species
UGACCAAGUCACGUGCCAGCAGUCGCGGUAAUACGUGGAAGAUUAGUGUUAUUCAUCUUUAAUUGGUUUAAAGGGUACCUAGACGGUUAAUUAAGCAUUAAUAUGUACUAAUUAACUAGAGUUUAAUAUAAGAAGGAUUGAGUACGGUGAGUGUAGAGAUAAAAUUCUGUCAUACCACUUAGAAACUGGUAAUGGCGAAGGCAACCUUCGAUGUAAAAACUGACGUUAAGGGACGAAGGCUCGUUUCAAAUAACAGGAUUAGAUACCCUAGUAUUGUGGGCAGACAAUGAUGAGUGUCAUAUACAAGGAAAUAAAAAAAAAUAAUUUUUUUGUGUAUAAAUGAAAGUGUAAGCACUCCACCUCAAGAGUAACGUGGCAACAUGGGAACUGAAAUCAUUAGACCGUUUCUGAAACUCGUAGUGAAGUAUGUUGUUUAAUUUGAUAGUCCUCAAAUAACCUUACCACAAUUUGUAUUACCAUAAUUUUAUUAUACUAAUAUGUUGUAUGGUAGUUAUGGCAACAAGCGUUGCACGGCUGUCUUCAGUCAAUGUUGUGAAACUGUGGUUAGAUCCAUUAAAUUGACGUAAACCCUUACUUUAUUUAAAAUAAAGUAGUUCGCCGCUAUAUUGGUAGUGAUAUAAGGGACUAGGACAAGUCAUC